rnacentral:rRNA from 1 species
AGUGGCAAGGAUCCUCGCGAGAUAUUUAUUCGUGUAGACUCGGAGCUAACGCUCCUUUUCCUACUUGAGUUUGGAGGGCCCCCCGGCCACUCCCUUCAGGUUCCUUCGUAUCAGGCGGUACUCCCCCUGCCGGCAGAGGAGAAUACAGUAACAUCUGCAGUGUAGGGGGGGGGACCGCUGACAUAUGGCGCUCUUCUUGUAUAGGGGGUACUUCUCUGUUGUUUACAUCUCAGUGAGGCCACAAAGUGUGGCGCGCACAGAUGGAUACAUACCCCGAUAAUGCACGCUGCAAACGAUGAGUCCUCAGUGACAGAGAGCCCCCCCCCCGUAGCCAGAAGUUCACGCAUCACUCACUCCGCCUGGGGAGUACCGCCGCAAGGGAAACACUCAAAGGAAUCGAGGGGGGCCCGCACAAGCGGUGGAGCAUGUGGUUUAAUUCGAAGCAACGCGAAGAACUUUACCAGGUCUUGACAUCCUAUGAAAACCCUAGAGAUAGGGCUUCUCCUUCGGGAGCAGAGUGACAGGUGGUGCAUGGUUGUCGUCAGCUCGUGUCGUGAGAUGUUGGGUUAAGUCCCGCAACGAGCGCAACCCUUGAUCUUAGUUGCCAUCAUUAAGUUGGGCACUCUAAGGUGACUGCCGGUGACAAACCGGAGGAAGGUGGGGAUGACGUCAAAUCAUCAUGCCCCUUAUGACCUGGGCUACACACGUGCUACAAUGGACGGUACAAAGAGCUGCAAGACCGCGAGGUGGAGCUAAUCUCAUAAAACCGUUCUCAGUUCGGAUUGUAGGCUGCAACUCGCCUACAUGAAGCUGGAAUCGCUAGUAAUCGCGGAUCAGCAUGCCGCGGUGAAUACGUUCCCGGGCCUUGUACACACCGCCCGUCACACCACGAGAGUUUGUAACACCCGAAGUCGGUGGGGUAACCUUUUUGGAGCCAGCCGCCUAAGGUGGGACAGAUGAUUGGGGUGAAGUCGUAACAAGUUUGCCAUUAACG